rnacentral:rRNA from 1 species
UACGUAGGCAGCGAGCGUUGUUCGGAGUUACUGGGCGUAAAGGGUGCGUAGGCGGUUGUUUAAGUUUGGUGUGAAAUCUCCCGGCUCAACUGGGAGGGUGCGCCGAAUACUGAAUGACUAGAGUGCGGGAGAGGAUAGUGGAAUUCCUGGUGUAGCGGUGAAAUGCGUAGAUAAUCAGGAGGAACACCGGUGGUGUAGACGGCUACGUCUGGACCGUAACUGACGCUGAGCACGAAAGCGUGGGUAGCAAACAGG